GUUUCAGUAGCUCAGCAGGUAGAGCACAUCCCUUUUAAGGAUGGGGUCCUGGGUUCGAAUCCCAGCUGGAACAC
rnacentral:tRNA from 1 species